CCACCGUGUGUACCCUGGAAUUUUAACAUUUGGAGUGAGCUGCAACGAACUGCACUGCAGCGUAGGCAAGUAAAACCAAAGUGAGCUGCUAGGGGAAACCGAAGUGAGCUGCAAACCAAAGUUCUCUGCCACCGUGCGUACCCUGAAAGUAAAGUUCUUUUUUUCCCGAGCAACAAAGGAGAACUCGAAUAGUAGUUUUUAAAACUUACCAAACACAUCCCUAUAAAUUUACAUAAAACCCACUCAAAACAAAAUGAAAAAUAAAUCAAAGCCGUAUGUCCUGGGUCCAGUUGCGUCGACCCUGCCAGCAACAAAUGAAGCUGCGAGCCUGACGAUGGUGAGCUGCGCGAACAUCACGCUGUGAGCUGCAUGUACAAGAGACCCUGACCAGCAUACACAAACCAGCCGAACCUCAUCUUCGAUCAAGCCAACUGCACUGAAGCACCUAUCAGCAAGAAAGGGAAAAUACCAAGCCGCAAUGGGGCACAGCCGAACCGCACGACUACGACAUCCAGAGGCAGAAACACCACCUCGACUCCCCUGCUGCUCCCAUCGAAGUAGUUCACACCAUCGUACUUCUCUAUCCUGACAAGUGAACAGCAAGAAAGAGGUGGCUGAAGAAGUGAAUCGCGCAUCUAUAACAAAUAAACUACAGAAAUUUUCAAAAAGUACUGCACAACCUGCUCUGGCGUAUUGCACGGUUGGGCUCGUCCGACAUGUGACCAUCGACGGCCGUCAGAUGCAGCCUGCGCGCCUGCAAUUUUUUUGUCGCCCACCCGUUGACGGUGGAGAGCCAGAGAGAGGCUAGGCAGGCGAAUGGCAACGCGGUGGCUGUUGACCCGGGACGCUCUGUAGUGGCCAGGGAUGGAAGGGAGGAGGUGGAAGAACGGGGAGGAGAGGGAAGAGUCGCCGGUGACCCGGGACGGAGAGGACGCCCCCGGGACGGUGACACACAGAUCUAACGCCGGGCAGCUGCGGGAGGACGGCUAGGGGCCAGGGCCAGGGCCUUGGAGGCCACCUCGAUGGGGUUCACCCAUGGGAGGAGGAUGGGGUUCACCCGUGGCAGAGGCUCGAUCCGGAUCGUGGAUGGGUGGCGGAUCCGGGUAAGGGGGUGGAAUCCACCUGCGGCGAAGGCACCGGAGAUGCAGGGCAGGUGCGAAGCGAGCCCAGGCCGGUGGCGGGGCAAAUUAGGAAGGAAGGUGUCGGCGGUGCGCAGCGCGGGAUGGCCGGGAUUUUGGGCGGUGGCGGCGCAGUAGAAGGUGGACGGGGGGCAGGGCCAGACGGCGGCCGCGCGACAGAAGUUGGACGGGGGCGAGGCGGAGGCAUCGCGGCAGAAGGU
rnacentral:rRNA from 1 species